rnacentral:rRNA from 1 species
GAUGAACGCUGGCGGCGUGCCUAAUACAUGCAAGUCGAGCGAACGGACGAGAAGCUUGCUUCUCUGAUGUUAGCGGCGGACGGGUGAGUAACACGUGGAUAACCUACCUAUAAGACUGGGAUAACUUCGGGAAACCGGAGCUAAUACCGGAUAAUAUUUUGAACCGCAUGGUUCAAAAGUGAAAGACGGUCUUGCUGUCACUAAUAGAUGGAUCCGCGCUGCAUUAGCUAGUUGGUAAGGUAACGGCUUACCAAGGCAACGAUGCAUAGCCGACCUGAGAGGGUGAUCGGCCACCCUGGAACUGAGACACGGUCCAGACUCCUACGGGAGGCAGCAGUAGGGAAUCUUCCGCAAUGGGCGAAAGCCUGACGGAGCAACGCCGCGUGAGUGAUGAAGGUCUUCGGAUCGUAAAACUCUGUUAUUAGGGAAGAACAUAUGUGUAAGUAACUGUGCACAUCUUGACGGUACCUAAUCAGAAAGCCACGGCUAACUACGUG